GACGAACGCUGGCGGCGUGCUUAACACAUGCAAGUCGAACGGAAAGGCUCCAGCUUGCUGGAGUACUCGAGUGGCGAACGGGUGAGUAACACGUGGGUAAUCUGCCCUGCACUCUGGGAUAAGACUGGGAAACAGGGACUAAUACUGGAUAUGACCUCUUUCAAUAUGGGGUUUGGUGGAAAGUUUUUCGGUGUAGGAUGAGCACGAGGACUAUCAGCUUGUUGGUGAGGUGAUGGCGUACCAAGGCGACGACGGUUAGCCGGCCUGGGAGGGUGAUCGGCCACAUUGGGACUGAGAUACGGCCCAGAGGCCUACGGGGGGCAGCAGUGGGGAAUAUUGCACAAUGGGCGGAAGCCGUAUGCAGCGACGUCGCGUGAGGGAUGACUGCCUUCGGGUUGUAAACCUCGUUCAGCAGGGACGAAGCGUAAGUGACGGUACCUGCAGAAGAAGCACCGGCCAACUAUGUG
rnacentral:rRNA from 1 species